UUUUAUGGAGAGUUUGAUCCUGGCUCAGGAUGAACGCUGGCGGCGUGCCUAAUACAUGCAAGUCGAGCGAACGGACGAGAAGCUUGCUUCUCUGAUGUUAGCGGCGGACGGGUGAGUAACACGUGGAUAACCUACCUAUAAGACUGGGAUAACUUCGGGAAACCGGAGCUAAUACCGGAUAAUAUUUUGAACCGCAUGGUUCAAAAGUGAAAGACGGUCUUGCUGUCACUUAUAGAUGGAUCCGCGCUGCAUUAGCUAGUUGGUAAGGUAACGGCUUACCAAGGCAACGAUGCAUAGCCGACCUGAGAGGGUGAUCGGCCACACUGGA
rnacentral:rRNA from 1 species